rnacentral:rRNA from 1 species
AUUGAACGCUGGCGGCAGGCUUAACACAUGCAAGUCGAGCGGGGUGAUGGUGCUUGCACUAUCACUUAGCGGCGGACGGGUGAGUAAUGCUUAGGAAUCUGCCUAUUAGUGGGGGACAACAUCUCGAAAGGGAUGCUAAUACCGCAUACGUCCUACGGGAGAAAGCAGGGGAUCACUUGUGACCUUGCGCUAAUAGAUGAGCCUAAGUCGGAUUAGCUAGUUGGUGGGGUAAAGGCCUACCAAGGCGACGAUCUGUAGCGGGUCUGAGAGGAUGAGCCGCCACACUGGGACUGGGGAACGGCCCAGACUCCUACGGGAGGCAGCAGUGGGGAAUAUUGGACAAGGGGGGGAACCCUGAUACAGCCAUGCCGCGUGUGUGAAGAAGGCCUUAUGGUUGUAAAGCACUUUAAGCGAGGAGGAGGCUCUUUUGGUUAAUACCCAAGAUGAGUGGACGUUACUCGCAGAAUAAGCACCGGCUAACUCUGUGCCAGCCGCCGCCGUAA